rnacentral:lncRNA from 1 species
GAUUAACGUCCACGAAACAAACCGACCAAAUAAACCCUUUUAAAAACCCCUAAACGUUUUCCAGGACUUGUUGAUGUCACCCGUCGCCUCAGAUGGGAAUUUAAUUGCCACAACCGGCCCGUGCGGCGAGAAUAGACGGCAUGCUGCCGCUCAGUAGAGAAGAAAAAAGAUAAACAGGUUUAUAGCAUAGAUUACCCUGGUCCAUACGUGUUAUCAUACAAAUAGUCGAUAACCGCAAGGAAAAGUUAGCCGGCGGGUCGCCCUAUCUCGCUAGUCUGGGCCCGGCUUUCGCCAAAAACGCAUCGACUCCUCGUCAUCCAAAACUGAAAUAUUUCCCCCUUUGGCCGAUUUUGCGACGGCGGACGUAUUUCUCCGUGUUUUAUCUCGAAUGCGUGGCUGACUUCGACAAUAUUCUACCAGAAACUGGGGAAAAAAACUACUGUGCAACGAUCAAUAAGAAAACUCUGAAAUUUCUAGUUUCAGGGGGCCAGUCACCCUAUCUAAUGUAUACACUAGACAUGGCCCAAGGUUCAGAUGCCCGAAAAUAGACCGAUAGGGUGUCCGAUUAACGAGAAUGAAUUGGCUAUAAAAUAAGAACGGCCAAAUUCAAAAUUUUCUGCACAAAUUUGUACCUAGGUGAUUCCGGGUGAGGUAAAUGAGAAGUCCUUACCUUCUUCUUCACUGUGUCCGGCUCCAUUGUGGUACCCCUUUCGCGAAUUAAACCUGCAGCAUCUACCGGACGAAGUGCAUGACCGGCGUUAUGUAACGACUGAACACCUCUCGGACGGGUUCAGCUGGUUCGUGGUGGGGGACCAGGAUUUCAGUGGGGACUUUUUACUUGUCAAUGGACAGAAAUUGAAAGAAGAGUCUUCAUUCGUCAUAAAAAAAAAAUUCAAGGUACACUCGCUACAAGUGAAUGGGAGCGGAUCAUAUAAUAUUAUCUUAGUACAACCAUCGCUAUGGAUAUCAAAAGUUAUUCCCAAUUUGUAUCAUGCUUUAUAAAGUAGAAAUAUUUCUUAAAACCUACAAUACAUCAAAAUCCUACCUGAGUUUGAUUGUUUCCGGAUUAUACAUGUCAAUAAAUACUUGCUGUUUUUGUCAUUCAGAACCUUUUUUGCACGUUGCUAUCAAAAGCUCUAGGUUUGAGUGUUGAAGCUUCUUGAAAUAUCAUGAAGAGACAAAUAUAAACAAUGCCUUUA